CCAGUCAGUGCUCUGAUUGCAGUUGUGUACAGACCUCCAGACUACACUCUGAGGCCAUUCCUGAAAAACCUGAGCUGAGACACUCAGGACUGAACAGACUGCACAGUUUCUGUGACCGAGCCUCCAAAACAUCUUCUUUGAAACCACACAUGAUAGAAGGGCUUUAUAUUUGCAGCAGCACUACUACAGUCGGCAGGAAUGUUGCUGCAGGAAAACAUCCCUGCAGAUCACCAUCAUUGUCAGACUGACUAUGCCUCCUCUGUGCAGUGUCAAGAUCCUCCCUAAAUGAGUGUUCCUCAGCUAUCCUGCUUCUGUGCUGCUUGCCACACAUCAAACACUGGCCGGAUGACAGGGAGGAUCCACUCUGAAGUCACUGGACAUGAUGAGGAUCAUAUGGGACUUUAUAGUUUCACAGAAAUGUUGUGCUCUUUGAUUACAGGUUUUAAAUGGACAUAAUGACUGCCUCUCUCUGAUCUGACAGGCUAAAGGAUUGUUUUCAUUGUUAGUGCUCUGUACAGUGUAUGCUUAUUUAAUAUUUCAUCACAGAGCAAACCUUUAUUUAUUUAACAUAUUUUUAUUUUGUUUUAAUGUUGAAUUAAC